UCCUGUUUCCUUGCGGUCUUCCUGGUCACAUGGGGGGCCAAUUUUGCACCCCCACGUGACCAGAUCAGUGGUGCCCAGGGACAGGGGGUAUCCCCUGUCCCUAGGCAAAUACGCCACUGUCUCUGUUUAAUGGAAAUUUAAAGCAAAGCCUAAUACGGUCAGGAUGCCAUAAUUUCUUAGGAUCCUCUCUAUUCCCAUGGAACCGUGGAUUCUCGUCUUUUUUCACUCUUGUACCCCUCGGCAACUGAUUUCCCUAAAAUUGGGUUCCUGUAUUAGUAAACCCAUUAGGUGCUUUUUUUGUGUGUACCCCCAAAACAGUUGGGUGUUUCCCUGGGAGUUCGCGUACCCCAGCUUGGGACCCACAGCUAUGGAAUAAACAUACGUGCUAGAUACGCACAACAAAAACAAACACCCCUUUGAAAAGGGAACGUGAAGCGGAUUUUUGAUCUUGGACGAUCAGUGCGGGAAAGUGACCGUUUGGCUGGGUUUAGACUGCUUUAUCUUCAAGAAGACAAGGGGAAGGGCUGAAUUACAAGCAAGGUAUGGGUGGGAUCGAGGCAAACAAAUUCUGUGCCAGGCAAACUUGAAUGUCCUGACUGACAUAUGCCUGUUGCUGUUUUCUGUCUUCGUUUUGUAGAAAUGUGAUAAUUGUUUUUUAAAAAAAUAAAAGAUUUGAGCACGGC